CCCAACUAUCCCUAUUAAUCAUUACGUCAAUCCUAGAAACCAACAAAAUAGGAUCGAUCGUCCUAUUUCAUUAUUCCAUGCUAAUGUAUUCAAGCGUUAGCCUGCUUUAAACACUCUAAUUUUUUCAAAGUAACAGUCCAGUUUCCCCGCAACACCAAAUUAAUGGCAUUACGGUUCAUCAGGAAGGAGGAAUCAGUAAGACCAGUGCAUACCUGUGGCACGACCAGCCUACUAACCCCGAAAUUCAACUA
rnacentral:rRNA from 1 species